GGGGGCAGCCGCAGGCUAAUACAUGCAGUCGAACGGUCGGUAGCAAUACCGAUAGUGGCGCACGGGUGCGUAACGCGUAACCAACCUACCCUUGACUGGGGGAUAGCCCGCCGAAAGGCGGAUUAAUACCGCAUAAAACUGCAGCACGGCAUCGUGUAACAGUUAAAGAUUUAUUGGUCAAGGAUGGGGUUGCGUGCCAUUAGCUAGUUGGGGGGGUAACGGCCCACCAAGGCGACGAUGGCUAGGGGAGCUGAGAGGCUGGUCCCCCACACGGGCACUGAGAUACGGGCCCGACUCCUACGGGAGGCAGCAGUAGGGAAUAUUGGGCAAUGGCCGAGAGGCUGACCCAGCCAUGCCGCGUGCAGGAUGAAGGCUUUCUGAGUCGUAAACUGCUUUUACCAGGGAAGAAAAAAGGGGAUGCGUCCCCUACUGACGGUACCUGGUGAAUAAGCACCGGCUAACUCCGUGCCAGCAGCCGCGGUAAUACGGAGGGUGCAAGCGUUGUCCGGAUUUAUUGGGUUUAAAGGGUGCGUAGGCGGCCGAUUAAGUCUGGGGUGAAAGCCCGUUGCUCAACAACGGAACUGCCCCGGAAACUGGUUGGCUUGAGUACAGACGAGGGUGGCGGAAUGGACGGUGUAGCGGUGAAAUGCAUAGAUACCGUCCAGAACCCCGAUUGCGAAGGCAGCUGCCUAGACUGUAACUGACGCUGAGGCACGAAAGCGUGGGGAGCGAACAGGAUUAGAUACCCUGGUAGUCCACGCCGUAAACGAUGGAUACUCGCUGCUGGCGAUACAAUGUCAGUGGCUUAGCGAAAGCGUUAAGUAUCCCACCUGGGGAGUACGCUCGCAAGAGUGAAACUCAAAAGAAUUGACGGGGGCCCGCACAAGUGGGUGGAAGCCAUGGGGUUUAAUUUCGAUGAUACGCGAGGAAACCUUACCUAGGCUAGAAUGCGCGUGACCGGCCCAGA
rnacentral:rRNA from 1 species